AUCCAUACCUAGAAAUUGGUAUUUAUAUUUGUCGAAUAUUGAAAGUAUAUAAUGAGAUGAUAUAUGAAACAAAGUGUAACCGAACAUCCUUCCCUACACAUUGGUAAUUCUCAAUGUUGGAAAUUGAAAGUAUAAAAUGAGUUGAUAUAUGCUGGCCUUUGGAUGUCGUUCAAGUCGAAAAAUGUUCGACACCGUGUUUCAAGCAGUGUACCAAAUUGCAGAGAAUAACUUUAAGCUAAAGCGUAUUUUGCAUCUACUAGGAAAUUAUCUAACAAUGACCAUCCUGCAUGUGAUAAAGAGAUGUCAAUGACAAAAAUAUUGAUAAUAUUCAAAUGUUAUAAUAUCCCCAUAGGCAGUCACAAUUCUAGAUUCUAAUUAAAUGAAAGCAUGGUUUUCUAAUGUGAAUUGUCGAAGGCCAUGCUUUUAUUUCUAAAAAUGUUAUACACGUCAUCCUGUUAAAAAAGAAACGUUUUACUGUAACUGGCAUAUUUAAUAUUUGAAACUAGGAUUUUUUUAAGCAACAAAGGUCUUUUGUUUUUAUUUAAUUAGAGAUACAUAUUUUAAGUCACCACUCAGCCUUCAAUAACGCUUUGGGGGAAUCACAAUGUUUCCUUAGAAAUAAAUAAAUAAUAAAACUCUGUUUUUACUUUAUUGACCUGUAAAAUGUGUAAUUUCAAUAGGAGGGUAUAACAAAUUAUCAAUCUCAACGUCAAGUUUGCAUGCUUAGUGAUUGUGUCUGUUUUUCAUACAUAUCUCUUUAUACCAAAUUGCAGAGAAUAACUUUAAGGUAAAGCGUAUUUUGCAUCUACUAGGAGAUUUUCUAACAAUGACCAUCCUGUAUAUGAUAGAGAGAUGUCAAUGUACCGUUCGUUCACCGAAGAAGACAGCUGUUAGGAAAACUUGAUAAAGAAAUGAGCGACAUAUCAUCAAAGAAAUUUCUUCAGUUGAUAAAGGUGUCAUUUGAUGUUUCAACAAGUGUUGUUCGUAGUUUUGCAGACUGCAAAGUAAUAGGCUUGUCUAAAUAUAGUGGUAGCUUUAUCAAGUUCCUUGACUUACGAAAACACGAUAUAUACCACAAAUGGUAGCCUAAUACCCCUUGCUGCCAUUGUGGAACUAAUUUUUCGCGGCGUCCAAAAGAAAUAGAAAACUGGCGUUUUGAUUUGCUAUAUCAAACUAUUUCUGAUCGUCAGGUCGUAUGUGUUAAAGGAAAAGGUCCAUUAAAGAUCAACGGAUGCGUACAGCAUUAUUGCAUAUGCAACAUCAUCCCACAACAAAGCAUUUCGCUAAAUGAGAUGGAUAUAUCAAUGAUUUCAUUUCUUCUGCGAGAUUGUAACAUCACACCAUCGCAGCUGGAAAAUAUACAAAAUCUUAAUAAGCAGAGAUGUAGGCUUUGUCAUGCAUAUAGUACGCAUUGCCUUACCAAUGAUGAAUAUGAUGAUAUAUGGACAAAUCUUGAAAAUGCAACACUAGAAUUGGCUAAAGAUGUUAAUCAUUAUUACCAUUCAGCCAUCACGAACCAUCUAUUGACGCUAAAAUCACACGACGUUACAACGAAAGAACAAAAAAUUUUGCAAAAAAGGUAUGGAUUAAUAGAAUUGAUUUUGUGCAUAAAAGAUUUUUUUUUUGUCAUAAGUUUCCCGAAGAAGAAA